rnacentral:rRNA from 1 species
CCUACGGUCGGCAGCAGUGAGGAAUAUUGGUCAAUGGGCGCGAGCCUGAACCAGCCAAGUCGCGUGAGGGAAGAAGGCCCUACGGGUUGUAAACCUCUUUUGCCGGGGAGCAACGGGCGCCACGUGUGGAGCCACUGAGAGUACCCGGAGAAAAAGACUCGUCUAACUACGUGCCAGCAGCCGCGUUAAUACGGAGGGGUCGAGCGUUCUACGGAUUUAUUGGGGUUAAAGGGAGCGUAGGCGGAGCGUGACGUAAGUGGUCAAAUUGAGGGGCUCAACCCCUUCCCGCCAUUGAAACUGGCGCUCUUGAGUGGAAGAGAAGGAUGCGGAAUGCGUGGUGUAGCGGUGAAAUGCAGAGAUAUCACGCAGAACCCCGAUUGCGAAGGCAGCAUGCCGGCUUCCGACGGACGCUGAAGCACGAAAGCGUGGGGAUCGAACAGGAUUAGAUACCCGAGUAGUC